rnacentral:sRNA from 1 species
ACACGAGGAAGGAGGUGGUCUGAAGUUGAAGAACUACAGGACGCGUGAGGUGGCUGUCAGCUAGCCGCUACCGCUGACGGUGGGGUUCCAUCAACCGCGCAUUGCGGCUGGCGAAUCCCAGGCAGCUACCCGGCCCCCGAGUCCCCGGUCGAGUCCCGACCGGGAUCCGUGCGACAAACGUCCGCGCACGGGUACGGCUCGGGGGCCGUUCUGC